rnacentral:rRNA from 1 species
UGUAACCUACGGGGCGCAGCAGUGGGGAAUAUUGGGCAAUGGGCGCAAGCCUGACCCAGCAACGCCGCGUGAAGGAAGAAGGCUUUCGGGUUGUAAACUUCUUUUCUCAGGGACGAAGCAAGUGACGGUACCUGAGGAAUAAGCCACGGCUAACUACGUGCCAGCAGCCGCGGGAAUACGUAGGUGGCAAGCGUUAUCCGGAUUUACUGGGUGUAAAGGGCGUGUAGGCGGGAAAGGAA